CUUAGACAUUAUUGCAUUUCAUGUACAAACCAACGAACCACUGCAUUUUCGCCUACACACUGACCCCUACCGGUCAUUCGGUGUACUACCGGAUUCUCAGACAUUAUUGCAUUUCAUGAAAAAAACAACCAAACACCGCAUUUUCACCUACACACUGACCCCUAUUGGUCAUUCGGUGUACUACAGGCAUCUUAGACGUUUUUUGCAUUUUCAUGUACAAACCAAUAAACCACCUCAUUUUCACCUACAC